rnacentral:rRNA from 1 species
GACGAACGCUGGCGGCGUGCCUAAUACAUGCAAGUAGAACGCUGAAGAGAGGAGCUUACUCUUCUUGGAUGAGUUGCGAACGGGUGAGUAACGCGUAGGUAACCUGCCUUGUAGCGGGGGAUAACUAUUGGAAACGAUAGCUAAUACCGCAUAACAAUGGAUGACACAUGUCAUUUAUUUGAAAGGGGCAAUUGCUCCACUACAAGAUGGACCUGCGUUGUAUUAGCUAGUAGGUGAGGUAAUGGCUCACCUAGGCGACGAUACAUAGCCGACCUGAGAGGGUGAUCGGCCACACUGGGACGGAGACACGGCCCAGACUCCUACGGGAGGCAGCAGUAGGGAAUCUUCGGCAAUGGGGGCAACCCUGACCGAGCAACGCCGCGUGAGUGAAGAAGGUUUUCGGAUCGUAAAGCUCUGUUGUAAGUCAAGAACGGGUGUGAGAGUGGAAAGUUCACACUGUGACGGUAGCUUACCAGAAAGGGACGGCUAACUACGUG